GACGAACGCUGGCGGCGUGCUUAACACAUGCAAGUCGAACGAAGUGGCGAACGGGUGAGUAACGCGUAAUCAACCUGCCCUUCAGAGGGGGACCACCGUUGGAAACGACUGCUAAUACCGCAUAAGGAAGGAGGGGAUUGCGUCUGAUUAGAUAGUUGGAGGGUUAACGGCCCACCAAGGCGAUGAUCAGUAGCCGGUCUGAGAGGAUGAAAGGCCACAUUGGUACUGAGACACGGCCCAGACUCCUACGGGAGGCAGCAGUGGGGAAUCUUCCGCAAUGGACGAAAGUCUGACGUGGCAACGCCGCGUGAGUGAUGACGGCCUUCGGGUUGUAAAGCUCUGUUAAUCGGGACGCGGUACCGGAAUAGAAAGCCACGGCUAACUACGUGCCAGCAGCCGCGGUAAUUC
rnacentral:rRNA from 1 species